UCUAGUUGCCAGCAUUCGGUUGGGCACUCUAGAGGGACUGCCGGCGACAAGUCGGAGGAAGUGGGAUGACGUCAAAUCAUCAUGCCCCUUAUGACCUGGGCUACACACGUGCUACAAUGGGCGGUACAAAGGGCUGCGAACCCGCGAGGGGGAGCGAAUCCCAAAAAGCCGCUCUCAGUUCGGAUUGCAGGCUGCAACUCGCCUGCAUGAAGCCGGAAUCGCUAGUAAUCGCGGAUCAGCAUGCCGCGGUGAAUACGUUCCCGGGCCUU
rnacentral:rRNA from 1 species